UUCUGCUAUUCAUUCUGGAGCCUCAAAAAAUAGUUCUGUGAAUAAUUCCAAUUGAGAUGAGUUUACUCUGGUUUAAAGAGAGCUCCAUUCUUGUGUCUCCUGUACCCUACUAAUGUCUCAUACUCCUGGAAACUGUCAUAUGCCUUCCCACCUUGUCAAUUCAUUGGCAGGAGUGUGCAUGCACAUGCACACACACAGACACAGGCAUACACGCUUACACACAUAAAUGUGCACAUACACAAGCAUAUGUAUCUCCUCACCAUUUAAGCUGCAAAUGUCCCAUGACGAUAAUAAACCAAGUUGCCUUGGCAAUCCAGUGUAAAGAUUGUGCCUUUCAUGGAGGCUGGAAGUUCCUGGUCAGGAGAUUGGAGUUAUCUUUGGUCAAUCUGCUGUUAGUCUGUCAGUCUGUCUAUCUCUAUCUGUCUGUCUGUCUGUCUGUCUAUCUAUCUAUCUAUCUAUCUAUCUAUCAUCUAUCACUUUUCCCUACCAAUUGAAAAUUGCAUCUAUCCAUGUAUCUGUUAUCUAUUAACUAUCAAUCUGUUUGUCAUCUAUCUGUCAUCUUUAAACACUUAUCUGUAAUUAUCUACAGUCUAUUUUAAAUAGUAGAUAACAUUCAACGUUUAACUUUGGUUUAAACUAGCACCUUAUUGGGUUUUUUUUCUUUUUCUUUUUUUUCUUUUUCGUUUUUUCAGAGCUGGGGAUCGAACGCAGGGCCUUGCACUUGCUAGGCAAGCGCUCUACCACUGAGCUAAAUCCCCAAACCUGGGUUCUUUUUUUUUUUUUAAUCAAUCAUUUUCGAGGAAAGUUUUAUGUGGUAGAAGAUCAUAGAAGCAAAGAGAUAAUAAUCAACGUUUUAGAACCAAGGGACUUAAUAUUCUCAAAUAUAAUCUGGAGGACAAGCCAUUUGUCUUAUUUUCAUUUACCUCAUUAGCAUGAAGGUGGUAGAAGAUAGAGCUGGGGUCUUUGGCAUUGCUUUCAAUUCCAGUUGCCUUUCCACCUCAGGGAUGUAAACCGUCAAUGAUGUCAUCUUGACAGUCCCCACCCCUCCAGAGGAAUUUAGAGGACAGGCAUCAUAUUAGAUCACUGCUCAGCUGAAACUUCCUUCAUUGAAGUCUUGGGAACCAUUCUUGUUAGUAGAAAUAGAUGUACUCUCUACAGGCUUUAUGGUUGGCUGGGACAAUUGUUCUCCUCCUGUAUGACCCCAGGUUUACCCCACCUUUGAGUUAUUACAACAGUAUUUUCAUGAACCUCUGUGAUUGUUUGUACAUGCUAGGCCCAGAGAGUGGCAGUAUUAGAAGGUGUGACCCUGUUAGAGUAGGUAUGGCCUUGUUGGAGUAGGUGUGUCACCAUAGGUGUGGACUUUAAGACCCUCAUCCUACCUGCCUGGAAGCCAGUCUUCUGCUAGCAGCCUUCAGAUGAAGACGUAGAACUCUCAGCUCCUCCUGCACCAGGCCUGCUUGGACGAUGCUCUUGCCUUGAUGAUAAUGGAACAACCUUUGAACCUUUCCUCUUUUCCAGAUUCUAAUUAACUUAAAGGAGUGGAGACUAAAGAAAAAAUUCAAUGUGGUCUUAAGGAAAGCUAAGACACAAACUUGUAUUUGAGCACUGCUUCUAUGUACACAGACCAUGAUUUUGUGAGUUACUUGAAUUUUUUGAGGUUCCUUUUAAUCCUCUACUAUUGAAUGAAUAGUGAACUCCAAGCAUUACACUGUACCUGAUGCUCCUGGUUGCACACUAAGGGCUGAAUAGAAGAAGAAUUCUAUUGGCAAUGGAGAGAAGCUGGAAGGGCUUGCACUAAGGAAGAAUUCACAGCUCUCACUAGCAAGAAGUCCAGGAUGAAAAACUUAGAAAUUAUCCCUGUUCUACCUAAAAAGCAGACAUGAGAAUGCUCAAAGCAUCAGCACUAUAGCAGAACUCACCAUAGGAGUUUCUGCUGCCGGAAACAUAUCUAUGUUAUCUGACCUAGACAGACUGAUCUUGUCGUGAGAGAGUGAGGAGAACUAGCAGAUGAAAUGACCAAAGUAUCCCACUCAUCCCCAGAGAACUGUGACUUCAGGAAAUGACUGGAAACCAAAGGUAUGCAAAUACUGCUUUACUUACACAUGUUUCAAAGGUAAAUGUUGGAAACAGAUGAGACACCUGAUAGCCCACUUAAUUAGAUUGGGAACUUAUUGAGGCAGAAUUUAAGAGCUGUUUACAAUGGGAUCUUUUUGACAUUGUGUAGUGGAAGAGGAUUGAGCUAUAGGACAUGGGUUGAGAAGGAAACAGUGGGUAGGGUAGGAAUAGAAACAUUUAGUUUGUUCAUGGUUCAUAAGGGUGUCUUGUCUACUCACUUCUUGCUUUCUAGGGUGAGUGAGUAGCUAGGGAGAGAUGAUGUAUGCCAGGCUUUUAAAGCUGUAGGUGCUCAUGGACUCAAGGGCUCUUGUUAGACUUCUGAUUCAGUAUUUCUGGGCUGGGCCCUGCAUUUCUAAGAGGUUCUUUGAUGCUGUUCUUGUUCCUUGCAUCACACAUUGACUUCAGCCUAUGGGUUAAAAACUAGCAUUAUAAUUAGUUUCUGAAUCAGUAAAUGUGGUGGUUUGAAUGUGCUUGGCCCAGGGAGGAGUGACACUAUUGGGAGGUGUGGCCUUGUUGGAGUAGCUGUGGCCUUGUUGGAGGAAGGGUAUCACUGAGGGGGUGGGUUUUAAGGCCCUCCUCUUAGCUGACUCAGUCUCCAGACUGAGCACAUUUCUCCAUCUCUAGUUGCCUCUGACAUCUGUGGGAAUUUUUCCUCUCUGGGUUGCACAAUCCCAUUGUGAAGUGCACCACUUUCUGUUUGUGCCUCGCUAUGGCAAUAAUUUCCUAUCCAUGUUUUGGAUUGUCCAGAGAAACAAAUUUAGACUACACAUGGACAUUGACUCCUGUUUGCAGGCCACUUCAUCCAUUUGGCCUGGGAAUGCAAC
ensembl:lncRNA